AUGAACGCUGGCGGCAUGUCUAAGGCAUGCAAGUCGUACGGUCUAUCGGUGAUUAUAUCAAUGAUAGAUAGUGGCAAACGGGAGCGGAACACAUUGGUAACCUACCUCGAGCUCGUGAACAACCACUGGAAACGGUGGCUAAUACACGAUAUGGAUGGGGGGUCUUCGGACAUUCCCAUUGAAAGCUUCGGCGGCACGAGAGGGGCCUAUGUCCUAUCAGCUUGUUGGUGAGGUAAUGGCUCACCAAGGCUAUGACGGGUACCGGGCGUGAGAGCGUGGCCCGGCUCACUGGGACUGAGACACUGCCCAGACACCUACGGGUGGCUGCAGUCAAGAAUCUUCCGCAAUGCACGAAAGUGUGACGGAGCAAUGCCGCGUGAUUGAUGAAGGCCUUCGGGUCGUAAAGAUCUUUUAUCAGGGACGAACAAAUGACGGUACCUGAUGAAUAAGAGGUUGCUAACUCUGU
rnacentral:rRNA from 1 species